AUUGAACGCUGGCGGCAGGCCUAACACAUGCAAGUCGAGCGGAUGAAGGGAGCUUGCUCCUGGAUUCAGCGUCGGACGGGUGAGUAAUGCCUAGGAAUCUGCCUGGUAGUGGGGGAUAACGUCCGGAAACGGGCGCUAAUACCGCAUACGACCUGAGGGAGAAAGUGGGGGAUCUUCGGACCUCACGCUAUCAGAUGAGCCUAGGUCGGAUUAGCUAGUUGGUGGGGUAAAGGCCUACCAAGGCGACGAUCCGUAACUGGUCUGAGAGGAUGAUCAGUCACACUGGAACUGAGACACGGUCCAGGCUCCUACGAGAGGCAGCAGUGGGGAAUAUUGGACAAUGGGCGAAAGCCUGAUCCAGCCAUGCCGCGUGUGUGAAGAAGGUCUUCGGAUUGUAAAGCACUUUAAGUUGGGAGGAAGGGCAGUAAGUUAAUACCUUGCUGUUUUGACGUUAACAACAGAAUAAGCACCGGCUAACUUCGUG
rnacentral:rRNA from 1 species